GACGAACGCUGGCGGCGUGCUUAACACAUGCAAGUCGAACGGAAAGGCCUCUUUCGGGGGGUACUCGAGUGGCGAACGGGUGAGUAACACGUGAGUAACCUGCCCUUGACUUUGGGAUAACUUCAGGAAACUGGGGCUAAUACCGGAUAGGAGCUCCUGCUGCAUGGUGGGGGUUGGAAAGUUUCGGCGGUUGGGGAUGGACUCGCGGCUUAUCAGCUUGUUGGUGGGGUAGUGGCUUACCAAGGCUUUGACGGGUAGCCGGCCUGAGAGGGUGACCGGCCACAUUGGGACUGAGAUACGGCCCAGACUGCUACGGGAGGCAGCAGUGGGGAAUAUUGCACAAUGGGUGGAAGCCUGAUGCAGCAACGCCGUGUGCGGGAUGACGGCCUUCGGGUUGUAAACCGCUUUCGCUCAUGACGAAGCUUUGUGUGACGGUAGUGGGUAAAGAAGCACCGGCUAACUACGUG
rnacentral:rRNA from 1 species